rnacentral:rRNA from 1 species
UAGGGAAUCUUCCGCAAUGGGCGAAAGCCUGACGGAGCAACGCCGCGUGAGUGAUGAAGGUCUUCGGAUCGUAAAACUCUGUUAUUAGGGAAGAACAAAUGUGUAAGUAACUAUGCACGUCUUGACGGUACCUAAUCAGAAAGCCACGGCUAACUACGUGCCAGCAGCCGCGGUAAUACGUAGGUGGCAAGCGUUAUCCGGAAUUAUUGGGCGUAAAGCGCGCGUAGGUGGUUUUUUAAGUCUGAUGUGAAAGCCCACGGCUCAACCGUGGAGGGUCGUUGGAAACUGGAAGACUUGAGUGCAGAAGAGGAAAGUGGAAUUCCAUGUGUAGCGGUGAAAUGCGCAGAGAUAUGGAGGAACACCAGUGGCGAAGGCGAAUUUCUGGUCUGUAACUGACGCUGAUGUGCGAAAGCGUGGGGAUCAAACAGG